ACAGGGGGGGCAAGCGUUAUUCGGAAUUAUUGGGCGUAAAGGGCGCGUAGGCGGUGAUUUAAGUGAGAUGUGCAAUCCCCGGGCUUAACCUGGGAACUGCAUUUGAGACUGGUUCGCUUGAGUACUGGAGAGGAUAGUAGAAUUCCAGGUGUAGCGGUGAAAGGCGUAGAGAUGUGGAGGAAUACCAGUGGCGAAGGCGGCCUCCUGGACAGUAACUGACGCUGAGGCGCGAAAGUGUGGGUAGCAAACAG
rnacentral:rRNA from 1 species